UACAGAGGGUGCAAGCGUUAAUCGGAAUUACUGGGCGUAAAGCGUGCGUAGGCGGUUUCGUAAGUCGGGUGUGAAAGCCCCGGGCUCAACCUGGGAAUUGCAUUCGAGACUGCGAGGCUAGGGUGCGGAAGAGGGAAGCGGAAUUUCCGGUGUAGCGGUGAAAUGCGUAGAUAUCGGAAGGAACAUCAGUGGCGAAAGCGGCUUCCUGGUCCAGCGCCGACGCUCAGGCACGAAAGCGUGGGGAGCAAACAGG
rnacentral:rRNA from 1 species